CAGGAUGAACGCUAGCUACAGGCUAACACAUGCAAGUCGAGGGGUAGCAGGGUAGCAAUACCGCUGACGACCGGCGCACGGGUGAGUAACACGUAUCCAACCUUCCCAUAACUCAGGGAUAGCCUUUCGAAAGAAAGAUUAAUACCUGAUAGUACUUUUUCAAGGCAUCUUGAGAAAGUUAAAGAUUUAUUGGUUAUGGAUGGGGAUGCGUUCCAUUAGAUAGUUGGUGAGGUAACGGCUCACCAAGUCUUCGAUGGAUAGGGGUUCUGAGAGGAAGGUCCCCCACAUUGGUACUGAGACACGGACCAAACUCCUACGGGAGGCAGCAGUGAGGAAUAUUGGUCAAUGGGCGAGAGCCUGAACCAGCCAAGUAGCGUGAAGGAUGAAGGUCCUAUGGAUUGUAAACUUCUUUUAUAGUAGAAUAAAGUGAUCCACGUGUGGAUUUUUGUAUGUAUACUAUGAAUAAGGAUCGGCUAACUCCGUGCCAGCAGCGGC
rnacentral:rRNA from 1 species